AGAGUUUGAUCCUGGCUCAGGACGAACGCUGGCGGCGCGCCUAACACAUGCAAGUCGAACGAGAGAUGAGGAGCUUGCUCUUCAGAUCGAGUGGCGAACGGGUGAGUAACGCGUGAGGAACCUGCCUCAAAGAGGGGGACAACAGUUGGAAACGACUGCUAAUACCGCAUAAGCCCACGGCUCGGCAUCGAGCAGAGGGAAAAGGAGCAAUCCGCUUUGAGAUGGCCUCGCGUCCGAUUAGCUAGUUGGUGAGGUAACGGCCCACCAAGGCGACGAUCGGUAGCCGGACUGAGAGGUUGAACGGCCACAUUGGGACUGAGACACGGCCCAGACUCCUACGGGAGGCAGCAGUGGGGAAUAUUGCACAAUGGGGGAAACCCUGAUGCAGCGACGCCGCGUGGAGGAAGAAGGUCUUCGGAUUGUAAACUCCUGUUGUUGAGGAAGAUAAUGACGGUACUCAACAAGGAAGUGACGGCUAACUACGUGCCAGCAGCCGCGGUAAAACGUAGGUCACAAGCGUUGUCCGGAAUUACUGGGUGUAAAGGGAGCGCAGGCGGGAGAACAAGUUGGAAGUGAAAUCCAUGGGCUCAACCCAUGAACUGCUUUCAAAACUGUUUUUCUUGAGUAGUGCAGAGGUAGGCGGAAUUCCCGGUGUAGCGGUGGAAUGCGUAGAUAUCGGGAGGAACACCAGUGGCGAAGGCGGCCUACUGGGCACCAACUGACGCUGAGGCUCGAAAGUGUGGGUAGCAAACAGGAUUAGAUACCCUGGUAGUCCACACCGUAAACGAUGAUUACUAGGUGUUGGAGGAUUGACCCCUUCAGUGCCGCAGUUAACACAAUAAGUAAUCCACCUGGGGAGUACGACCGCAAGGUUGAAACUCAAAGGAAUUGACGGGGGCCCGCACAAGCAGUGGAGUAUGUGGUUUAAUUCGACGCAACGCGAAGAACCUUACCAAGUCUUGACAUCCCUUGACGAACAUAGAAAUAUGUUUUCUCUUCGGAGCAAGGAGACAGGUGGUGCAUGGUUGUCGUCAGCUCGUGUCGUGAGAUGUUGGGUUAAGUC
rnacentral:rRNA from 1 species